AGACACUAACAUGGCGAGAGCUCUUCUGUUAGCCACUCUCCUCCCCAUUCUGAGCAAAGGGAUUUGGAACUGAGGGCAUUUAAUGCCGGCUGGAGGAGCACAGGACUCUGCAAAGCGAGGGGGAAAAUCAUACACACGCACACACACACAGAAUCUAAAUUAAGAGGACGGCAGUGAGCCGAGAACCCAAUGAAUGUAUGUCACAAUGAUGAUGACAGAUCAGAUUCCCUUGGAACUGCCACCUUUACUCAAUGGGGAGCUCCCCAUGAUGCCUCACUUGGUGAAUGGGGACGGUUCGCAACAGGUUAUUUUAGUUCAGGUUAAUCCAGGAGAAACCUUCACCAUCAGAGCAGAAGAUGGGUCCCUGCAGUGUAUCCAAGG